rnacentral:rRNA from 1 species
UGCGUAGGCGGAUCGACAAGUUGGGGGUGAAAUCCCAGGGCUUAACCCUGGAACUGCCCUCAAAACUGUUGAUCUAGAGACCGGGAGAGGUAAGCGGAAUUCCUAGUGUAGAGGUGAAAUUCGUAGAUAUUAGGAAGAACACCAGUGGCGAAGGCGGCUUACUGGACCGGUACUGACGCUGAGGUACGAAAGCGUGGGGAGCGAACAGGAUUAGAUACCCUGGUAGUCC